GGCAUGUUGUCAAGGGGCUAAUGAAAAAAUUGCUGUCAGCAUCCAACAAAAAGGACAACCGAGACCUGCAACCAUGGAUAAAAUCCAUCUGCAAUCACUUGUGGUACGCCUGUUCCACUUGUGGAGGUGACCCUGAUGGAAGCUUGAAGUAUUCCAUGCAUCUAUGCUGAAAUACACAGAGAAGAGACUGCACUUCCACUACUCAACAAUGAAAGCUCGCACCCAGCUUGCCGUUAUGGACCACAAUGAAAAUGUUCAGCGUGAACAGGCCUACACCAACACAGGACAAGCACGGUUCAAUGUGGUUUACCCAAGACAAACAAAAGAAUGGGUCGCCAAAAAGAUCUAUGUUCCAACAACACAAACAUUCCGGCAAAAUCUGGUGGUGCAAGUUGUGCGGAGACGCCUGGACCCCAACAUCAAGAUCAAAGACCCCCAGUCAUAUGUUUCUAUCCCUCCCAUACCAGAAAACAUUGCUCAGAAACCAAAACCUGCCAAAGAGGAAGCCAUACAAAAACAUACUUCCCGAUACAGCAGUUAGUCUGAGUGGUGCAGUAUUUUUACUCUUGCCUUUUUAUAUUUGUACUUAUGCAAAUAAAAAGUCUAGCUGGUGGCAUGUAA